rnacentral:misc_RNA from 1 species
GAUGAAGAACGUAGCGAAAUGCGAUAAGUAAUGUGAAUUGCAGAAUUCCGUGAAUCAUCGAAUCUUUGAACGCAUCUUGCGCUCCUUGGUAUUCUGAGGAGCAUGCCUGUUUGAGUGUCAUUAAAUUCUCAACUACACUGACUUUGAAUUGGUGUGGCUUGGAUUUGGGGGGAAAAUUGUUGUGGGCUUUUUGUAUAGUCUGCUCCCCUGAAAUUGAUUAGCGGUACCUUUGUGGAACUGUCUACAGGUGUGAUAAUUAUCUACAUCUUAGACAUCUGCUGGAAUGCUGCUUUCUAAACCUUACUUGUAUUGACAAUCUUGACCUCAAAUCAGGUAGGACUACCCGCUGAACUUAAGCAUAUCAAUAAGCGGAGGA